CAACACUGAACCUCAAGAGAAAAAACUCGCUCUUAUGAGAACUAGCUCAAUCCUCUCCCUGGGCAACACUCAGUGACCUAAGGACUUCCCACCUCUUAAAGGGCCUGCCAUCUUGCAACACAGAGACUCAGACCAAGCCUGUAAUGUAUAAGCUGUGGCAAACAGACCACAUCCAAAUGACAGCAGCUCUCACCCCACAUUAGUCACAGGCUAUCCUGUGGGGUUAAUUCCUUCUUCCUUCCCAGUUGACAGGCAUACCGGUACCUAGCAUCUCCAUGCAGGAUCGUUUAACCCUGUGCUUCUGUGAUUCUGACUUUUCCUAAAUUCCACAAAUGAAUACUGACAAAGAUUGGAAAACUGGGCCUGGGGUAGGACGUCAGCUGAGACUAGAGCACAACAGGAGAAGACGCUGGAGGACUCAUGUGGAGCACAAGCCAACAUCUCUUUGAAAAUGGAUCUGUGUUGGGCACUCCGAGUCUCUGAUCAAGGAGGAGAAAAAGAAAGCGAAUCCUCAUCAUCAUGGAACCGGUAAAAUGGAGAUACAGAUGUGGAACCAGAACCCAUACUCCACAGCCGUCUGUCUCAUUAACUUUCUUUUUCAGAGCUGGCAAAAGUGGAGGUCCAGGAAGUUCUUUCUUUGAGGUCCCCCUUUCUCCUUUCCUCUCUUUAGUAACAGCCACCAUGAACUAUCUAUAAGACAUUUGCCACGCAUCUUCCUCCUUGUCAUGAUGCUAAUAUCCACCUCAAGACUUUAAUGAUAUCUACGCUAAUAUCUA